UACGGGCUAACUAGAGUNCAGUAGGGGAGACUGGAAUUCCUGGUGUAGCGGUGGAAUGCGCAGAUAUCAGGAGGAACACCGAUGGCGAAGGCAGGUNUCUGGGCUGUAACUGACGCUGAGAAGCGAAAGCAUGGGGAGCGAACAGGAUUAGAUACCCUGGUAGUCCAUGCCGUAAACGUUGGGCACUAGGUGUGGGGGACAUUCCACGUUUUCCGCGCCGUAGCUAACGCAUUAAGUGCCCCGCCUGGGGAGUACGGCCGCAAGGCUAAAACUCAAAGAAAUUGACGGGGGCCCGCACAAGCGGCGGAGCAUGCGGAUUAAUUCGAUGCAACGCGAAGAACCUUACCAAGGCUUGACAUAUACUGGACUGCGUCAGAGAUGGCGUUUCCCUUCGGGGCUGGUAUACAGGUGGUGCAUGGUUGUCGUCAGCUCGUGUCGUGAGAUGUUGGGUUAAGUCCCGCAACGAGCGCAACCCUCGUUCUAUGUUGCCAGCACGUGAUGGUGGGGACUCAUAGGAGACUGCCGGGGUCAACUCGGAGGAAGGUGGGGAUGACGUCAAAUCAUCAUGCCCCUUAUGUCUUGGGCUUCACGCAUGCUACAAUGGCCGGUACAGAGGGUUGCGAUACUGUGAGGUGGAGCUAAUCCCUAAAAGCCGGUCUCAGUUCGGAUUGGGGUCUGCAACUCGACCCCAUGAAGUCGGAGUCGCUAGUAAUCGCAGAUCAGCAACGCUGCGGUGAAUACGUUCCCGGGCCUUGUACACACCGCCCGUCAAGUCGCGAAAGUUGGUAACACCCGAAGCCGGCGGCCUAACCCUGGUGGGGGGAGC
rnacentral:rRNA from 1 species